rnacentral:rRNA from 1 species
UACGUAGGGCGCAAGCGUGUCCGGAAUUAUUGGGCGUAAAGAGCUCGUAGGCGGCUUGUCACGUCGGAUGUGAAAGCCCGAGGCUUAACCUCGGGUCUGCAUUCGAUACGGGCUAGCUAGAGUGUGGUAGGGGGAGAUCGGAAUUCCUGGUGUAGCGGUGAAAUGCGCAGAUAUCAGGAGGAACACCGGUGGCGAAGGCGGAUCUCUGGGCCAUUACUGACGCUGAGGAGCGAAAGCGUGGGGAGCGAACAGG